rnacentral:rRNA from 1 species
GGUGAGUAACACGUGAGCAACCUGCCCUGGACUCUGGGAUAAGCGCUGGAAACGGCGUCUAAUACUGGAUAUGAGCCCCUAUCGCAUGGUGGGGGUUGGAAAGAUUUUUUGGUCUGGGAUGGGCUCGCGGCCUAUCAGCUUGUUGGUGAGGUAAUGGCUCACCAAGGCGUCGACGGGUAGCCGGCCUGAGAGGGUGACCGGCCACACUGGGACUGAGACACGGCCCAGACUCCUACGGGAGGCAGCAGUGGGGAAUAUUGCACAAUGGGCGAAAGCCUGAUGCAGCAACGCCGCGUGAGGGAUGACGGCCUUCGGGUUGUAAACCUCUUUUAGCAGGGAAGAAGCGAAAGUGACGGUACCUGCAGAAAAAGCGCCGGCUAACUACGUGCCAGCAGCCGCGGUAAUACGUAGGGCGCAAGCGUUAUCCGGAAUUAUUGGGCGUAAAGAGCUCGUAGGCGGUUCGUCGCGUCUGCUGUGAAAUCCCGAGGCUCAACCUCGGGCCUGCAGUGGGUACGGGCAGACUAGAGUGCGGUAGGGGAGAUUGGAAUUCCUGGUGUAGCGGUGGAAUGCGCAGAUAUCAGGAGGAACACCGAUGGCGAAGGCAGAUCUCUGGGCCGUAACUGACGCUGAGGAGCGAAAGGGUGGGGAGCAAACAGGCUUAGAUACCCUGGUAGUCCACCCCGUAAACGUUGGGAACUAGUUGUGGGGACCAUUCCACGGUUUCCGUGACG